CGGACCGGCCGGCGACGGGUGAGUAACGCGUAUGCAACUUACCUAUCAGAGGGGAGUAGCCGGCGAAGUCGGAUUAAUACCCCAUAAAACAGGGGUCCCGCAUGGGAAUAUUUGUUAAAGAUUCAUCGCUGAUAGAUAGGCAUGCGUCCCAUUAGGCAGUUGGCGGGGUAACGGCCCACCAAACCGACGAUGGAUAGGGGUUCUGAGAGGAAGGUCCCCCACAUUGGUACUGAGACACGGACCAA
rnacentral:rRNA from 1 species